rnacentral:misc_RNA from 1 species
AUUAUAUACAGGAAGAGGGAGGGUAAAGUUGGGGGAUGAAUUGAAACUAUAAUUUUCCAACUAGUAUAGCUUCGGGGUAGUGAUCUACUACUGAUGUAGAGGGAUAGUAUUAUCUUGCAACUAUCUGGACCCGUAUGGGUAUUUUGAAUAAAAUUUUCUUCUUCCUACUGCAAUUUCUUCACUCUGUUCUUAUUUGUUAAUUUCUAGUUUUGUGUUUCUUUACUCUAUCAGGAUUACUCAAAGGGUCAUUAUGUAUGUACUAUUAUUCUCACAUGAUGGAAAAGACAAUUUAUUGUUAUCCGUAGACAUAGGCUAGUAUUUAGUCAAAUCACAUUAAAAAU